rnacentral:rRNA from 2 species
UGGGGGAUAUUGCACAAUGGAGGAAACUCUGAUGCAGCAACGCCGCGUGAGGGAAGAAGGUCUUCGGAUUGUAAACCUUUGUCUUUGGUGACGAAUAAAUGACGGUAGCCAAGGAGGAAGCUCCGGCUAACUACGUGCCAGCAGCCGCGGUAAUACGUAGGGAGCGAGCGUUGUCCGGAAUUACUGGGUGUAAAGGGUGCGCAGGCGGGAUUGCAAGUUGGAUGUGAAAAUUACGGGCUUAACUCGUAACCUGCAUCCAAAACUGCAGUUCUUGAGUGAAGUAGAGGUAGGCGGAAUUCCUAGUGUAGCGGUGAAAUGCGUAGAUAUUAGGAGGAACACCAGUGGCGAAGGCGGCCUACUGGGCUUUAACUGACGCUGAGGCACGAAAGCAUGGGUAGCAAACAGG